rnacentral:lncRNA from 1 species
GAAAGACAUUUUCUCAAUUAGUGACCAAGUGGGGGAAGACCCAGCCCAUUGUGGGAGGUGCCAUCCCUGAAAUGGUGGUCCUGGGUUCUAUGAAAAAGCAGACUGAGCAAGCCAUGGGAAGCAAGCCAUAAGCAGGAUUCCUCCAUGGCUUCUGUAUCAGCUCCUGCCUCCAGGUACCAGCCCUGCUGUUCUUAUCCUGACUUCCACCAAUGAUGGAUUUUGAUGUGGAAGGGUUGUGCUAUCCCAGAGGUGAACCAUGGUCUAAGUAACUGCGAGGAGAUACCAUGAACCCCUGAGUACAUGAUGAAGAAGCAAGAAGAGAAAGAAGCCAAUACAAGAAGCAUUAGUGAUCAGGCUACCUCUGGGCACAGCUUUAAAGAUGUCACUGGUAUCUAAAGAAGAGGCCAAGGAAGCUGCUGAACGCCCUGCGGUGCACAGGGCAGCCCCACCACAAGGUUGCUCAACUUAAUGCCAGCUGCUUCAAGGUUGAGAAAUUCAGCUUCGUUCUUCACCCAGAACUCAUCUGAGCUGUGACUCUCCUUACGUCAUAGAUGAUAAUUCCAGAAGCACGUAUAUGUUGAUAUUUCACAUUUAAAAAUGCAAACAUGAACCAGUAAGAGACAUUUCCCAUCUCUGUGUAGCAUCUCUGUACAUCAUCAGUGAGUCAUGGGUUAUAAGAGGCAUGCCUUUGGCUGUUAGGAUCCCUUCUGCUCAAUUCAUUUCCUGUCCACCAUGAGAUAAGUAGCUCCUGUCACAUGCUCUGCCUGCUGUGACACUCUGCUGUACUGUUUACCCAGAAUCAAUGAAGCAGGACUACAGACCGAUUUCUCUGAUGCUGUGAGCCAAAAUAAACCAU